rnacentral:rRNA from 1 species
UUAUUGGGUUUAAAGGGAGCGUAGGCCGGAGAUUAAGCGUGUUGUGAAAUGUAGAUGCUCAACAUCUGAACUGCAGCGCGAACUGGUUUCCUUGAGUACGCACAAAGUGGGCGGAAUUCGUGGUGUAGCGGUGAAAUGCUUAGAUAUCACGAAGAACUCCGAUUGCGAAGGCAGCUCACUGGAGCGCAACUGACGCUGAAGCUCGAAAGUGCGGGUAUCGAACAGGAUUAGAUACCCUGGUAGUCCGCACGGUAAACGAUGGAUGCCCGCUGUUGGUCUGAAUAGGUCAGCGGCCAAGCGAAAGCAUUAAGCAUCCCACCUGGGGAGUACGCCGGCAACGGUGAAACUCAAAGGAAUUGACGGGGGCCCGCACAAGCGGAGGAACAUGUGGUUUAAUUCGAUGAUACGCGAGGAACCUUACCCGGGCUUGAAUUGCAGAGGAAGGAUUUGGAGACAAUGACGCCCUUCGGGGCCUCUGUGAAGGUGCUGCAUGGUUGUCGUCAGCUCGUGCCGUGAGGUGUCGGCUUAAGUGCCAUAACGAGCGCAACCCCUCUCCUUAGUUGCCAUCAGGUCAAGCUGGGCACUCUGGGGACACUGCCACCGUAAGGUGUGAGGAAGGUGGGGAUGACGUCAAAUCAGCACGGCCCUUACGUCCGGGGCUACACACGUGUUACAAUGGCAGGUACAGAGAGACGGUCCCUUGCAAAAUGGAUCAAAUCCUUAAAGCCUGUCUCAGUUCGGACUGGGGUCUGCAACCCGACCCCACGAAGCUGGAUUCGCUAGUAAUCGCGCAUCAGCCAUGGCGCGGUGAAUACGUUCCCGGGCCUUGUACACACCGCCCGUCAAGCCAUGAAAGCCGGGGGCGCCUAAAGUCCGUGACCGUAAGGAGCGGCCUAGGGCGAAACUGGUAAUUGGGGCUAAGUCGUAACAAGGUAGCCGUACCGGAAGGUGCGGCUGGAACACCUCCUUUCU